GUUAAAUCUUGUUAUUGUUAUUUCCGCAUUUAAACUGUUUUAUUGUUGUGUUUAUUUUCGGUGUUGAUAGUAAAAUACCUACCUUCAGUAACGAAGAGUAUGCUGACAUGCUACUCGCAUAUGGCAGGGCUAACUGCGAAGCGCGAAGAAUUUAUCAGGAGCUAUAUCCUGAUCGACGUAUACCACACCACGAAACCUUUCACUACAACCUAUCAACGUUUGAGAGAGACAGGAAAUAUACAUAAUCAAGAACCUCGAGUGAGUGCCGUGCAACACAGUGUAGCCCUAGAUGAAAUGAUUCUUCAAGCUUUUGAUGAGGAACCUACAACAAGCAAACUAAUUUUUGCUGCAACACUUAACUUAUCAAUAUGGAAAGUCUGGGCGGUGGUUCGGGCAGAUGAGAGGCAUGCACUUCAUUACACCCCUGUUCAAGAAAUGAAUUGUAAUUAAGGUAUACAGGUUGACUGAAGAACUGAUUGCACAAUUAGAAAAAGAAAUUUCCCCAUUUUUAACAAAAGCAAAACGUCGAGGAGGAAUUAGCAACCGAACUAAGAUUCUAUACACUCUCGAAUUUCUUGCUAGUGGGAGUUACCAAAAAAUGAUAUGUGAGAAUACAAAGACAUAUAUCUCGCAAGCAUCUGCCUCGAGGGCUAUGAGAAAUGUUAUAGAUCCAUCAACCACCCAGAUAUGGUUAACAAGUACAUUAGAUUUCCUCAAAAUACUAAUGAAAGGCAAGCAAGCUCUCAA